rnacentral:rRNA from 1 species
GACAGAGGGGGCAAGCGUUGCUCGGAAUUACUGGGCGUAAAGGGCGCGUAGGCGGGAUGGCAAGUCGGUCGUGAAAUCCUUCGGCUCAACCGAAGAACGUCGAUCGAUACUGCUGUUCUUGAGGGUUGCAGAGGAGACUGGAAUUCCCGGUGUAGCGGUGAAAUGUGUAGAGAUCGGGAGGAACACCGGUGGCGAAGGCGGCACUCUGGGCCGGUACUGACGCUGAGGAGCGAAAGCGUGGGGAGCGAACAGG